GGGCGUUUGGCUCAGCGGGAGAGCACUACCUUCACACGGUAGGGGUCACUGGUUCAAAUCCAGUAACGCCCACCA
rnacentral:tRNA from 1 species